CGACAAGGCAGAGCGUGACAUGGUGUGUCUGGGAGACGGGAGACAAAAGUUGGCUUUCCGCUGGAAGAACUCGGAGCAGCUGGGCAGCAUAUUCUGAUCCACAGAAAGCGAUACUGGGGGCCACGUCUUCCUUUCCCACUGCCUUCUCCGCACAGGCACCUUAUCGAAUAUAUGCCAUUGAUGCGCAAACGUGGAACUCAGGGCCAGCAGCACUAUAACGUGUGCCUGAAUGAAGCUUAUCUCACGCACAGAUUUUCUCUAUAAGGCACGUUGCAGCUAUUGUGGGUUUCAGAACACCAGACAGCACUUCAGCACUAUGCUUGGGGGCCAU